CCAGUUAGUUGAAUGGUAGCUUUGAUAUUUUCAAAGAGGAAAGUCUGGGCUCCACAAGAUAACAGUGCCAGCUAAUAGCUGGCGAGGGUGACCUCAGGGAUAGUGCCACAGAAAAUAAACCGCCUUAUCAAGGCAAGGGUGAAAAGGUGUGGUAAGAGCACACCGGGUUUUUGGUAACAAAAACCGCAUGGAAAACCCCACUGGGAGCAAGACCAAAUAGAAGCAACAUGAUUUAAAUUUAUUUAAAUCUAGCCUAAUCUUGGGUGAGUUGUUUGGGUUGGUUGCUCGAGUCUAUUGGCGACAAUAGACCUAGAUAAAUUACCGUUUUCAAUGACAGAACCCAGCUUACAGACUAACUGGCAAU
rnacentral:RNase_P_RNA from 1 species